CCUACGGGUGGCAGCAGUGAGGAAUAUUGGUCAAUGGGCUUACGCCUGAACCAGCAAAGUCGCGUGAGGGAAGACUGCCCUAUGGGUUGUAAACCUCUUUUGUAAGGGAGCAACGCCGGCUACGUGUAGCCGGACUGAGAGUACCUGAAGAAACAGCAUCGGCUAACUCCGUGCCAGCAGCCGCGGUAAUACGGAGGGGGCAAGCGUUAUCCGGAUUUACUGGGUGUAAAGGGAGCGUAGACGGUUAUGUAAGUCUGGCGUGAAAGCCCGGGGCCCAACCCCGGGACUGCUUUGGAAACUGUGUAACUGGAGUACAGGAGGGGCAGGCGGAAUUCCUGGUGUAGCGGUGAAAUGCGUAGAUAUCAGGAGGAACACCGGCGGCGAAGGCGGCCUGCUGGACUGAAACUGACGUUGAGGCUCGAAAGCGUGGGGAGCAAACAGGAUUAGAUACCCCUGUAGUC
rnacentral:rRNA from 1 species